UGCCUUCGGCGGGGAUCGAACCCGCGACCUUAGGAUGACCCUUCGAUCAUUUUUCGAUUUGAUAGUUGUAUUAUGAGACCUACGCGCUACGACUGCGCCACGAAGAC
rnacentral:tRNA from 1 species